AGGUUUAUAAACCUGUUCGUAUAACCUUAUAUAUGAUGGCUGUAAAUGUCUUACAAUUUCCUGUUGACACGAUUGUAUUCAGUAUAAAUAAUUUCGGUAUUUUUGAACUGAGAUUAUCAUGGAUAGUACAGUAAAUGUUGACAAUGAGAAGAGUCCUUGUCUUCAGUUAAUCAGAGGUCUCGCUAUGCUUAACUCUUCGUCGGGUGCGGUUUCACUAAGAACUGCGAACUCGUCUGGUAGCGGAACAUUUAGCUCUGAACAAACAAACUGAACAAUUCUUCUAGUUGCAGUCCCGAGUGACAUUUUGUUCAAGGUAACUGCAAUUGCGAACCUGUUUUUAAUAUCACAAAAACCUGUGGAUCCACCCAUACCUGAGUGCCCAAAUCCAUAAAAGGAUCCAUCACUUGAACUAAAUCUCCUAAAACCUAAUCCGAAUUUCCCAUUUGGCAGUACUAGAUUCCUGUACUCACCCACGCCCAUGAACUCAUCAUGAAUUCUGGGGUUAUUAAAAAUCUUGUUGGCAUUAUUUUGGCGAGAGUUUUCACUGGCUGCAAACCCUUUGGGUGGACUAGCAUCGCUGCUGCUGCUGCUGCUGCCGCCGCCACCAGCGCUAUCAUUAGCAAGCCUGGUAUACCCAUCACUGUUACUUUCUCCACCAUCCUUGAAAUCCUUACUGUGAUUCAUCUUGAGCUCAUAACCAUUUCCUUUUUUCUUUGAAGCAGAACCCGCUGCCUUAAUCUUUUUCCCUUUCUGCUUUUUGGAGGUAAUCUCUGAAGGAAAUUUGGGAAUGUGUGGGUGGGUACCAAGGGGUGGCAUGGACAAAGAGGAAUGAGGUGGUGGGACCAGGCCUCCGUCAACAAGAGCUGCAUAGUAGCGUGCAAGAGCACGAGCUGAGCAAUGUCCGUUAGCAGCUGGUAUAAUGGCGCGACGAACGUUCAGCAUGUUAAACAAAGCAGGCACUGCAGUUACUAGUUGGGAAAUGUUCUCUGGCUGGAAGGUGGAGGGAAGCUCAGGACGACUGGCAAUUUUUGAGAGCUUGCUAAAAUCAUCUUUAUCUAAUGUAAGAGAUGCAAGUCGAGAUUCCACACCUGGAGGAGACGCAUGACAAGCAUUAAUGUGCCAAUCAUGAAAAGAAACUUUGAAUUUACAAUUUGCAGGAACAUGAUAACUCUAUCCAUGGAAGGAGGGACAGGCAGGUAGUAUGACCACUUGAAAAAAAAGCAAUUGCAUGUGCAAAUCUGUUGUAGUAUUUCUGUUAGCGAAGCAAGAACAUUAAAUACACGGACUUUAACAGAUACCUGGAGGAAUUCCAACAUAUAGCUCGCCUUCAAUGUUGAGAGGUCGAACUAUUGCUUCUUCAAGGAUCUCCUGAAAUUUCUUCCCAGAGGCAUGCUGUUUCAUUAAAGCACAUUAUUAAAAUGUGGGACAAGUCAAGCUCCCUCCAAAAACAGAUGCAGAUCAGACAUUCCAAUCAUAAAGAAAUUCAAAAACAAAUGCAGACAUCAGCUUCGUGGUUCUUUCAUGUUCAAACACUUGAGCAAGGGAUUGUACCUCGAUUAUUCCACCACAAAGCCAGCCAAAAGACAGAUAGUGAUACAACUGCUCCUGGCCAGGUUCAGUCUCAGGUGCUGACAUAGCAAUCCGUUUCAGACAUUCAUCCCAGUCAGCCAUUAGCAAAGGAUUUUCUUCUCUGAGGUUGGCCAAAGCAUUUUGCAAACCAGAUGUAUGAUUAAGAACAUGGUGGACCUAAACAGGAAAAAAAAAAUAUGUGAGCAUACAUACAAAAGAGCUUCAGGUGGUAAUCUGAAAGGUUUAGCAGGUCUUGGAAAAUAAACUUUCACACCUUGAUGAGAUUCUUUCCGUUUGUUCCAAAUUCUGGCCAAAUAUUAGCAAUAUUUUCAUUGAGGUUGAGUUUUCUGCAAGACAACAUGCGACAUUUUGUAACCAACCACAAAAGGCAUUUUGCAUUAAGUUUGCCUUAAAUUACUACAUACUGGGCAGAAUUACUCAUGCUAAAAAUGAUAUCCUAUCUAAGAACCAGCAAGGACCUCAAAAGAAAAAACAAUUGCAAAAAGUUCCUCAUGUAGAAAAGAAAAAUCAUCUAGUCAUAUAACCAAAAUGCUGACAUAGUUUAUGCAGGAUAAACACCAGUGCUUGUAUCAAUAUUGGUUUUAGGAAGCGGAUCAUGCAUUCAGUAUUCCCAGUGAAAGAUAACAACUACAUGAAAAUUAAUCAAAAACAAAACUACAUGCAAAAAUAAAUAUCUUGCCUAGCAGUUCUGUAAAUGAUAACACACAAAAGGCUUUGCUUUCAUACAAUUACUGCUACAUACCCAUUGUCGACAAGCCAAUGUAACAUUCCUGCUGCAAUGCCCUUUGUUACAGAGAAAACAGGAAAAAGGCUAUCAGGCUGUACUGGGCGAGGAUCAUAUCUACCAAGUACUCCAGCAGCAGUAUCGAUAAUAACCUCUCCAUCUUUAUAGGCACAUACCUUUAGGCAUCAAAUUCAUAAAGUAGUCAAAAUAAAAGGAAAACAAGGCAGUUAUUUUUUCCAUGUCAAAAGCAUAAAAACCAGUAUAAAAUAAAUAAGGGAUUAGUUUUACAGUUGUUAACAAGUUAUUCUUAAGAUUCUCAUUUAUGCUACUUUGUCAGAAAAAAAUGGAACCAUGCAGACCUGGAUUCCAAGUAUUUUGUCAUCAUUCCCUAACUCAACUAAAAUCUGCCUCAGCUUUGCCUCCACAUCAGAAUGAACUGGGGUGUCAUUGAUCCACUGUGCAUUGUCUGAUGGCCCCUUAGCAAUCUUCCUGGCGAUUGAAUUUCAAGUUCAAAUAGAGAUGAACAAUAAUCGAAGACAUUAUACAAAUUGGCACAUUGCUCAAGAUAGACUUACUCUUGCAGAACAGAUUCGGCAAAUGGUCUCAUGACAUCAUGAUAUACUAUGCGAGCAUCCAAUGUGGUAGAAAGUCCUAAACCCACAUCAAAGGAAAAGUAAAGAAAUGCAAAAGUUUUCUCAUUAACUGCUACCAGUGUAAAGAUUUUAUUACUGACCUCUCAGAAGACCAAUGACCCGUGAAAAUAUUACCAUAUCGCCAGGAAAUGCAUCAAUCUGAACCAACAAUUGUUUAUAAAUAUUGAUGAAAUUGCCAACAAACAGAUCAAGAAAAAUAUUGAUAGAAGUAGAACAAUGUGAUAGAAGGACUUGCCGGAUUAAAUCGUUUAACUUCCUUUUGGCUGAGAUUCAUCUUUUCCUGUAGCACCUUCAUGUUUCUUGCUCUUUGCUCUCCCAAAGAUUUAGCAUAUUCCUUUACAGGAGCACAGUAUAAGAUUGGAAUCGCUGGUAUCAAAAUAGAACUCUAAAGGCAGGCAGUGCAUACUUACAGCAGCUUCACUUGCAGAUGUUGACGUGCGGAAGAAGACACUGAUAAAAUCCAUAGCCUGCUCAGGAAAGUCCAGGCGCAGCUUAAGUCCCAUUUCAGAAAAGGAAGACAAAAGAGCAACAUGGUCCCCCUGUAAGAGAAAGCAUAGUAUUUACUUUAUAAUGAAAAAUUAAACAAAAAUAGAAAAAAUAUAAACAGAUAGGAGUGAUGACAAAACCAAAAAUAUUGUGCUCAGUUGAAGUGGCACAUCUUAUGCAUAACAGUGGUGAAAGAUUAUGAAAAUAAUGGAGCAUGCUCAGCUAUACUUGACCAGUAAUUUGAUUUUAAUGACCAAUGUGCACUUUUGAGUAAAUUUCAGCAAAAUAUGGAGCAGCAACAAAGGGUUAAGCAUAUGCUGUGAUGGCAGAGACAGAGAGACAGGGUAAACAGUAUGCUAAACUAGGACACAGAAAACGCUCCCAUGCAAGAAAAAAAUUAUUUUAUUGCUCAACACAAUUAAUCAUCAGAUCUGUUACACAGAUGCUCUAUGAUUAUGAUGCAUUAUUGACAGUACACUGACAGGAAGAUUUUCACAAACCUCAGCAGUAGCAAGAAACAUUUUAGCUAGUGAUUGUUUCAUAGAGCUUGAUAUUCUCUUUGUCAGCCCAAAGUCAAGCAAAAUUGGACGAUGUGGAGGUUCUUUGCUCACCAGAAAAUUACCUGCAGCACAACCAAUAUAAAAGCAUUCAACAGAGUAAACUGAUUCUGAUUUAGGGCACAAUUAGGGUGAUUAGGAUAGAAGAAAGGGUAGAGCAAUGUGCAUAAGAGAUGGGAGAAAGAAUAUAUGUUUUGAUUUUCGAUUUCAGACCCCUAAUCAAAUUUCAUUCAUUGAAAUAGCUCCCUUAAAGCAUAUCGCAUCGCAGGUGUUACAUAAACAUCAACAAGAGAAAAUUUAGACACACAUUCUCUUUUUCUUUCCUUGUCUGAGGUAACAGCCAGCGAUUCUGUUUUCUUUCUUCCUUUUAUACUACUGGUAAGCAAACACUAGAGCAGUAGUUGAGAGAGAGAGAGAGAGAGAGGUGUACCAGGAUGAGGGUCACCAUUAAAAAACCCAUCAACAUAUAUUUGAUGGGCAAAGGCCCGUGUGAUUUCUUCAACAAUCUUUUGGUUGUUAGCACCACAAGCUUCUAGGGAUUCAAAGUCAUUCAAACGAAUUCCAUCCAUAUAUUCCAAAAUUAGAACUUUUUCUGUCGACUGUUAAUGAGAGGAACAUGAUGCACAGUCAGAAAGAGUGAAAAGAUUAAGGAUCAUUAUCAACAUAAGAAUAGCAAAAAAGGCACCAGGCAGUUAAGGUUAGAAGGAAUUCACUACUUAAGAUCCACUCAUUGAAAAUAUGUAUAGAAACCAUCUGUAUUAGGUUAAAAACAUGUGAAGAGACUAGCAUCAAGUAAUUAUAGGUAAGUGCAUGUGUUUUACUUGGGUAUAUGGUAUAGACAUUCACGAUGGUGUCAUAACUAAAUAAUUCAUUUUCCUCCACUCCACUCUGCCCAGGCUUCAGAAUGACAUAAAAAUGUUCAUUUUUCUCCCACAUGAUUCUUUUUGUAAGAAUGGUAGUUAACCGUCAGGGUUCAGAAAUGUCAAAGAAGAUGCCUGCAAUGAGUCCUUUAAUAUUUGUUCCAGACAGUGAGAAAUGUUAAUAAAAUUCCUACGACAAGAUAUAUUUUUAGGAUUUCAUCCUUUUGCACCUGCACUCGAGCAAGCAACUUUGUUAUAUCAAAACAUGAGAGCAAAAUGAUACCUGAAUAACCUCUGGAAUCAAAACAUCCACUUGAUUGAUGGGCUUGUUGCUAUCAUAUUUGCUUGUGCAGCCAAGAUUUCUAGACACGGUUCUGGUAUUCUCUACAAAUACAAUAGACCAGCAUCAGUAAGAGAGAAGGGUACAGUGAACAGUAGAUAAACACAAUGAUGUACUUGAUAAGAAAAACAGUAAGAGAAUAUAAAUGGAGGAAGAGAUUAAAGAAUUUAAAAUUCCUUGCAUUGUCUCUGCAGUGUUAAUAAAUAGAUUGGGAAUGUCCUACACUGAAUUCAGUAUAGUGAGUUGGAGUUUCCCUUUCAUGAACAUGCUAGAAAAUGGCUGAAUACAGCUGCCAACCAUCACUUUCAUCUCUACAACAUCCAAGCUCACCACUGCAACAUAGUGCCAAUGCUAAUGCUUCCAUUAGCACUAACAGCACCAUGCCAUUCAAUUAUCCUCACUGCUGACACCACACAGCUAUCAUCCCAUUCACUUCAUUGAUUCAAUAAAAAAUUAAGAUGCUGCACUUGGUAUGGACUCUAAACAUGAUCAGAUUUAACUGUCCCAAUGAUUGGAUUCCAUUAUCGUUAUUUCAAGCUCCUGGUAUGAAUCCCAAAUCCCAAUAACCUCAUCCAGACCAGCCAGAACUCACAUUUAUUAUCUAUUGGUUGUAAAAGAAAAGAAAAUAGCAAUUUUGUGAUGUCAUCGACAGAAUUUCAUCAACAGAAAUAUUGCAAAAGACAAAGUUUACCUGCUUCGUGGUUGAAGUCGAGUUCUUGUGGUGCUUCUUUGCACCAUUCAUCAAUCAUAGGGCUGAAGUUAUACUGCGGUUCUGCCCAUGCUAUCCAGUCAACAAUGGAUUUUGCAUCCUUUAAAUCCUGCAAAAAAAAAAAGGCAUGCAAAAUAACCACAAGGACUGAAACAUUUGCUUUCCGAUGCAGCAUCUCAAAAGCCAAACUCCAAAGAGUUUCCAAACCUCCAAUAUGAUUUUCUUGAUGUCUUCAUGUUGAACUUUAACAACCACCUUCUGCCCAUCAAUUAGUGUCGCACGAUGGACUUGUGCAAUCUGCAUAGAAUAUAACAUGAGAACAACAAGAUUAUUCCAAAAUGUACACACCUUGUGAGAACAAGAAAAUCAAAAUUUCAAUCCUAAAUGAGCAUCUGCACUAACUUCCUAGCACAAACAUCUAGUCUAAGGAUCUUACCGAUGCUGUCGCCAGAGGAUUUUCGUCAAAAUCCAAGAAAAUCUCCUUCGUGGAUUUCCCUAGUUCUUUCUCUAUAGUGUGACAAACCUGUGCAAACAAAAAUUUUAACAUAACCAACCAAUGAGAAACAUGGCUCGAAAAUAAACAACUAACAUUAUGAGAUAAAAACUAUCAGAAACAUCAGGUCAACAAAGUCACAUUGAAUCACAUGAAGACUUCCAAAUCUAUUAGAAAAAGACUAAAACAAAACCUCUUCAAAUGGACGAGGAGGGAGAGAGUCCUGCAACUGCUUGAGAUUUGAAAUGAAAGCAGAAGGAAGCACAUCAGCACGUGAGGACAUAUACUGUCCAAGUUUCACCCACAAACCCUCCAACUCUACCAUCAAAUUAAAAACACGCUUAGCAUUCCGCUCAUGGGCCUUCUUCCACAACGCAUCACUUUUCGGUUUCUUCAUGAAUUUCUCUCUUUUCUGUAAAGCCUUCAGUAUAAAAAAAGACAACCACCACAAUCAGCAUAAGCAAUAAGCAUCACUCUAAAUAAAUAACUCAUAACCAGAUUUUCAAUACGGCUGAUCCGUACCUUAUAAUCGAUGUAAAUUAUCAUGGCCAAUGUAAAUACUUUCGCACGUCUCCUGUAAAUGUUUCCCCACCCCAUCUCUAACACACAAAAUAUAUAUAUAUAUAUAGAUAUAUAUAUAUAUAUAGCUAAUAGCAGCUAAAAUUUCACUCCCCGCCUCUUUCACUACUUAGUCCAACCAACUCCCUGCAGCGUACCUGAAAAAACAUCACAGAAUCAAAUCCUAAUAUUCUUUUUUAUUUUUUAUUUUUUGAGAAUGCAUGAUUACAGUAAAAUAUAAAAAUCUUCCAGCCUACCAAUACCACAUAGACAUAGCCUUAUUUCUUCACAAACUAAUUAAUAAUUGUUCGAAUUAUUACUAAAAAAAUCAAAUUUUUUAUAUCAAAUUGUAAUUUUACACUCUAAUUGCUAGAAAUUGUAAAAUUAGAGGCAAAUUACAAUCAAAUUGAACAAAAAAAAUCAAAAGAUACCUGAUUACAACAGUAGUCUUUAAGUAUCAGUAAGAUAAUAGUGAUUAAAAACACAAAAUCUAGGUUCAAAAUUUGAGAAUUUAAAAAAGAGAGAGAACCUACCUGAAGUUACAGGAAGAGAAGUUUGAACAGAGAGCAAGAGAGACGGGAAGAGAAAGAGAGGUAAGUAAGGGAGGAAUGCGCGAAAAUUCUUCGAAACGACCGUCAGUAGAUGUCGUUUUCAAAUUAAUGGAAUCUGGGAUGAGACGAACCCGUGUUGUUGAAAUUUUGAUUCCAACUUACAACGUAUUUGUUGACGUUAGGUUUUUAAAAUGAUUUAAAUAUUUUGUUGGCUGAGAAAGUUUUUUUUUUUUUGAAGUAGUUUUUAUAGAAAGUAAAUUUUUUUAAAAAAUUAUUAUUUUAUGUUUAGUAGUGUUAUGAAAAAUAAAUUGAAAAAUAUUUUUUAGUAUUUAAUUAUAUCAUGAAAAAUAAUUUAUUAAUAUUAUAUUUUCUUUUUAAGUUUAUUAAAAGAAUAAAGAUUAAAUCUUAUAAAUUAUUUCAAAUAAAAUAAAAUAAAAGUUGAAAGAUGAUAAAAUUAAAAAAAAAUACAAUUUCAUAAAUUAUUUCAAAUAAAAUAAAAACCAAAUUUGAUAGAUAACAAAUUUUAACUAAGAAAAUGAUAAUAUAAAAGCAAAUAACAAUCAAAAAAAUAAAAACCAAAAUUGAUAUAAAAAAAUAAAUUAAAUCAAAUUCUAAGAUAAGAAAAAAAAAGAUUGAAAACAAAAUAUAUAGCAAUCAAGAGAUUGAGGACUAAAUUUGAUAUAAUCAACGAAUAAUAAGAUAUUUAUAAAUUUUUUACAACUUUUAAAAAGUAUUUUUCAUUUAAAAUAAUUAUUUUCCUGAAAAUUAAAACAAAUUUUCCUGGAUAGUUUUUUCCAUUAAUAAACUUUCUUGAUAGUAAACAAACACAAUAAAAUUUAAAAAAUAAUUUUCUGAAAGCCACUUUCUAAAAAAAAAGACGUAAAUAAAGCGUUACAAAGAAAAAAUAAAGAGCAAACCUUAAGAAAUAAAAAAGGCCCUAAUCUAUUUGAGAAAUUUCAAUUGGAUCCCUAACUUAUUUUAUGUCUUGAUUAGGUCAUGCAUGAAUCAAUAGAUUCUCAAUCAAAAGCCUUAAUCAGUUUUUUCCAACAGAAUCAUCAAGUAGUCAAACAAAACUACAGUGUCUUUUAUUUUCCCAUAAGAAACCUUCAAAUUCUUUAAAACCUGUCUUUUAUGGAUAAAUUGGAAAUUAACAUAUAAAAUCAAAAUAAUUGGUAAAUUAAAAUAGGAGCAAAAAGUUUUGACAAAAUAACAUAUUUUUAUUUUGUCACGCUUUAGAAGCUAUUGCUAUUUCUAAGUGCGAUAAGGUAAAACUCCAAUUAUUUUGCCCAACUAGUCAAUUAGUUCCAAAAAUAACAAGAAAAAUCUCAAAACUGUUAAAAUUAGGGGGCCUCAACAAUAUUUUUUAUAUCUAACAAUCCAACGAUCUACCUUGAUUGGAGUUACACCUUAUUGCUCUUUAAAAACACAACAUUUAUUGAGUGUUGCUCUUAUGAAACGUCAUAUUUGUUGUCACGUUUAGAAAUAAAAAAAGUUAGUAAAUAUCAUGCUUUUAAAACGCGAUGAAAUUGAAACAUGUUAUUUCUUUAAAAUUUUGCCAAACAUUUUAAAUAAUUGAAUUUCGAGUGAUUGCUAAUAGUCUUGUUAAUUUAAACUAAUAAAAAUUUUAUUUUUUAUUUGCUUCAAAUUAAUAUUUUUUUAAUGUUCUUAAAUCAUUUUGAUGCGCAGAUAUUAAAAAUAAUUUUUAAAAAAUAAAAAAAUAUAUUAUUUUUAUAUAUUUCUGAGUGAAAAGCACUUUAAAAAGCAAUCAGAACCAGAACUCUCAACCAUACUUUUAUAGUUAAACAAAACUCAAGUGCCUUUUCUUUUCCCAUACAAAACCUUCAAAUUCUUUAAAACCUUGUAAAUUGGGAAAUUACCACAUAAAAUUAAAAUAAUUGACUAAUUAAAAUAGAAGCAAAAAGUUUUAAUAGAAUAGUACACUUUUAUCUUAUCGUGUUUCAGAAGCGUUUGCUAUUCCUAAGCGUGACAAGGUAAAACUCCAAUUAUCUUGCUCAACUAGUUUAUCGGUUCCAAAAAUAAUAAGAAAAAUCUCAAAACUACUAAAAUCACGGGGUCUCGAUGAGGUUUUUAAUAUCUACAAAUCCAACGGUUUGCUUUGAUUAGAAUUUCACCUUAUCACCUUUCGGAAGCACAAUAUUUACUAGGUGUUGUUAUUCUAAAGCACCACAAUUGUUGUAACGUUUAGAAAUAAUGAAAAUACAAGAUAAAAACAUGUUAUUUCACCUAAAUUUUCUUAAAUGAUAUUAUUCUGCUACAAUUUUUAAACAACUAUGCUAAUUUUAAAAAAUAUCAUCUUUUUACGUCACUUGAAACUAUACUAGGGCUGGUUUGUUUUAGCUUUUCUUGAAAAGCUUACACAAACAGGCACUUGCAAGGAGUUAUUCAAUUCAUGCUUUUUAUCAAGAAGAAAAUUAAGUGAAUUUCGAGUGAUUGCUAAUAGUCUUGUUAAUUUAAACUAAUAAAAAGAUCUAAAUGAAGAUCCAUUCAUGCAUACAUUAGAGACCUGAUUAAGAAUUUAUUUUAUUUUAAAAUAAAAAAGAGAAGCUUAUGAACCUGAUCAAGAUUGUCUUUAUAGAUUGGGAACUCUUGUGAGAUAGCAUGGAUGAAAAAUAAGUUCCUGUUGUUUCUGUGAUGAAAAAUAUUUUUGUAAAAAUUUGAUUUUUUUAAAAUUAAUUUUUUUAUGUGUUUUUAAUAUACUGAUAUAAAAAAUAAAUUUUAAAGAAUAAAAAAUAUUAUUUUAAUAUAUUUUAAAAAAAAAUACUUUAAAAAAUAAUGAAUAUCACUAAACUUGCUACAAGUAAAGAAAGAAAAUAGAUCACAGCGGCUGGAAGGUGUAGGAAGAGAUGGUUGGCUUAAAAAGGUUGACUUUCAACGUGAAAAGUAGUUGAUCUACGAUUUUUCAAGUCGUUGAACUUUAUUAAUCGAUUAAUUAAUUAAGUGGUUGAAGUAUGAUUUUUCAAGUCGUUCAGCUUUAUCAAUACAUAAAUGCAGGAGGAGGGUCGCAUGCGUUGCUGGCCCAUGCUGCCAAUUUGGACCCCUUGAUUGAAAUUUGAAGUUGGAAAUUCCUUGCUGGUCCAGCAAGUUAAGAAUUGCAAAUUGCUUGCAUCUUUAAUCAUGUUUUGAACUUUCACUGGAUGAGAGUGUAUUCUUGUAGUCUUUAUUUUUAAAUACUUUUUUAAUAAUUUUAUAUAUUAAUGUUAAAAAUUAAAAAAAAUAGUUUUAAUAUAAUUUUAAAUAAAAAAUAUUUUUAAAAAUAUAAUAUAUCUCAAUAUCAAACACAUAUUCUCGUACAAUAAUACAAUUCCAAAAAUUACGGGUUAGUUGUGCUUAGAUUCAUGAUUUUGGUUGGAAAUUCACCAUUAAAAAAAAUUACAUGUUAACAAGUAAGAAUUUAAUGGUUUUCUCAAUUAUUCAAGCCGAAACAAGAUCUCAAGCUUUCUAUGGUAUUUGAAUGCAUCAAUGAAUUUUUUUUUGUUUUUUUUUUGAAUAAAUAUGGUUAUCAGACUCAAAAUCUCCUUGAUUUGUUUGUUUGAGAAAGAGAAUCCACCUUCAGGAAUCAUGGUGAUUUUUAAUUCUCAUUGCAUAUUUAUUUCUUUUAAUUUUUAUAUAAUCGAGUUGGAUUUAAUCAAAUGUCUAAUUUUAGAUAUAAUUUUUGAAAAAAUAUAUAGUGAAUUUAAAAAUCCUCUCUUCGUUUGUCACAUACACUAAAUCCUCAAUUUCCUUUUUUCCUUGACAUUUUAAAGAGGCUUUGUUUUCAAGUUAUGUUAUUAAUUAAUUUAUGUACAAAACUGAAAGAACAAUAAAACUACUCGAUCUCUUCACUUUUAAAAGGUAAUCAGAGUCUUUUUAUAUAUAAAAAAAAGAUAGAGAAAUAAUCAUUUAAAUGAUAAUUAGAUAUUAAUAUGAUAAUGAUGACACAUGGAUUCGAGCUUGAGCAUCAAUAUAACAAGUGAAAAUAAAUCAUGAAUAUAACAUGACCUCUACUUUCUUCACUUAUCAUGCCGAAUCAUUGUAUUAAUUGAGUUUCGAUGCUGAUAAGAAAUUUUCAUUUAUUCAUGAGUUCACUGUCAAAAAAUCGGUGAAAACCAAGAAUUGCCAACGGAAUAACCAAGAAAAAAAAACAUUUUGAUGACGUGGAAUUUUUUCAGACGAUUGUACCGAUGAAAUGACCAAGGGAUUCAAACCGGGAUCUCCGUACAGUGACGUGGCCCGUUCACCAUCAGAAUUACCGACAGUAUACCGACAGGACGUGUCCGUCAGUGAUUCCAUCGGUAAAAGCAUUAGCUUAUACUUUUGUACGGAGUCACAACAUCCGUUCUCCGAUUUAUUAUGGAUUUUAUCAUUUUUUGUAAGUAAAUCUAUCCUUUUUAAUUUUAACAUUUAAAUGUCAAUUUUAUUAUUUUUUAUUUUUUUAGUAUAUGUAUUUUGUUAAUGUAUGUACUUGUUUUAUUGUUAUUUGUCAAAGAAAUUUGUAGUAUAAAUGCAUAAUUUUGUAGUUGUUAUAGUUUAUUUUAGAUUUUGUCAAACCGUAUUUGUUUGUAAAUUGUUGAAAUUUUGUUUGAAUUACACUGAAUUAGAUAUGUUGUGAUGAAAUAAAUAAUAGCUUGUUUAAUGGGUUCGUUUUAAUUUUUAUCAAUUCUAUUGCGGAGUUGUGAUUUUUGUAAAUUUAUAUAUGUAUAAAUUUGUAUGGACGUUGAUAAUUGAUAAUGAAUAUUUAAUAUAAGUGUUUUUUUAGUUUGUUGGAUAAUGUCGGGGCAAACCAAUAUUUUUGCAAAUUUAUUUACGUAACAUAGUUAAUUAAUACAUGUUGUCAUGUUAAUUUUAUAGAGGUUCGAUAGAAGUCAUGGAUGAUCGUUCAUGGAUGUAUCGAGACUCACCCCAAGGAUUGCGGAGGAUGAAUUAUUGUAAUGGAGUUCAGGGUUUUAUUAAUCUCGCAAUAUCUAUUCCGAGGAAUUUUACUAAUAGCAGUAUUAGGUGUCCAUGCAGGAAGUGUAAAAAUAAAAAGUUUCUGCAUCCAAAUGUUGUAACGAUGCAUCUUCUAACCAAAGGGUUCAUGGAGGACAUGUGUUGGUAUGCACACAUAGAACUAUUUGUUCCUAAUGAGAGCAUGGUAGAAAGGGUGGUUGGGUCACUUCUAGUGGUAGCAACGUGCAUGAAGUUGUAAAUGACAACAGUAAUCCUUACUGGAAUAUGGUUAUGGAAGCAAUGAGAAUGAAUCAAGGUAAUGUUAGUCAAUGUCCAAUCAUAGAAGAAGAACCUAAUGCAGAUGCACCAAGGUUUUUUGAUUUAUUGAAAGAUUCUGACGAACCAUUAUGGGAUGGGUGCACAAACCACAGUAAAUUAUCGGUCAUAGCAUAGGUGUUCACCAUCAAGCCAGAUCACGGGUUGAGUGAGGCCAGUUAUGAUAAAAUUAUAGAAUGGGCGAGAAGCAUUUUACCUGAAGGGAACAAGCUUAAAGAGAACUUUUAUGCUGGAAUAACAGUCUAGAAGGUUGGAAUGAGGUGGCGGUUUGGCGGGAAUUCAAACCGCCAUUCAUCUUGGGGGAUAUAUGGACACAAUAUAUUGAGCACAUGACGUCUGAUCGGUUCGUACGACGCUCACAGUUCGGUGCCGACAACCGGAACAGAAAAAUUCAUGGUUCAAUGACCACGCACACCGGCGGCUCCGUUCCGUUCAGUGCACAUGCAAAGCAGAUGGUAAGAUUAAUUUAAAUGAAAUAUAUCGUUAAUUAAUUUGUUGUUGCUUCUAAAUAUAUUUAACUUGCAAUAUUUUUUUUCUUACAGGCUACAUCUCUUAGACGUGAGCCGAACCCAAUGGAGUUGUUUGUCGAGACGCACGUGCGGGGUGAAGACCGCCAAAAGGGGGUGCAACAGUUCAUGCACAACCGUGCUCAACACUUCGUGGUAUGUUCGUUCAAUCAUUUUAUUUCGUAAGCUAUUAUUUUCUUGAAUUGAAUAUGAUUGUUUUUUUUUUAAUUUUCAAGAGACCUAUAAUAGUCGGUUGAGGGAGAGAUAUGAGGACGAUCCUUCGACCCAUCCAAAUUUCGAUUCAGAUUUGUGGAUGGAGGUAGGAUCGUCUAGUGGACCCGAUAAAAAUCAGGUCACGGGCUCUCCAACACUACAACCGAAAACUUGCGGGCGGCCCGUAGUGUCUCAACCGUUGGGAGCUCUCCAUCAUUAUCGAGCACCCAGUCUGAGGAGUUCAUGGUCUUGAAACAACAAUAUGAACAACUCUCGACGGAUUAUGAACAGCUCCGUCAAAUGUUCAUGGACAUUAGAUCAAGGAUGAGUGAUGAUACAUGCGCAGUCCUUUUUUUGCCGUAAGUUCCCAGUAACAACCAACCUCCUUCUCCUCCUCCUCUAGCUCCGCCGUUAUUAUAGUUUAAUUUUGUUUUUGAAACACAUUAAAUUUUUAAUGAAUAUUUGGAUGAAUGUUAUUUAAUAUUAUUUUUAUAUUUUUAAUUUUUAAUACAAUUUUAUUUGGUUAAUUAGUUUUUUUUACUAUUAAUCAAUAUAAUAUUAUAAAAAAUUAUUUAUUCUAAAUACUAUUUUUUAAAAUAUCUUUAAAUAAAUAUCGACGGCCUUACAAAUGAAACAGGUCUGUUGGUAUUAGACAGAGAGUUGAAAAAAAUUUACUGCCCAUGCAACAAUCACUGACGGCGUUAUUCCGUUGGUUUUUACCGUUGACAAUACUGACGGACUAUAUCCGUCGGUAUUUUACAGAGAGUUCCGAAAUAUUUACUGUCCAUGCUACAAUCACCGACGAACUGGCCGUCAGUGAUUUACUGGUGGAUAUACAGUCUGAAUAAGUUCGUCGGUAAAGUUCUAGCGUGAAUUUUUUUUGGCGUGUUUUAUCCAUUUGUAAGACCAUCGAUGUUUUUUUUCCGACAAAAGUAGCGACAGAAAUGAGAAUUACCGACUAUCAAUGUUCCGACAAACGUAUUCCGUCGGUGAUGCUGUCGAUAGAAAUUUUCCCAACGAAUUGUGUGUCUUACACCGACGGAAUUAAUUCAUCGGUAAAACUGUUUAAUGGUGUAAUGGUUAUUGGAAAUAAUUAAAUCAAAUGAUUAAAAUAAAAAUAAAUUAGUUAACAAAAUAUGCUAGUUACUUUUAUGCUGGUUACUUUUAUGCUGCGAAGCUGAUGAGUGGCUGCAAAAUCAGAUGUAAAUUCAAUAACAUUAAAUUCACUCUUAUAUUGUUGCAAACUGCUUGCAUCUUUAAUCGUCUUUCGAACUUUCAGGGGAUGAGAGUUUACUGUGGUAGUUUUUAUUUUAAAAUUUAUUUUAAAAGUAUUUUUUAAUAAUUUUGGUAUAUAAGUAUUAAAAAAUAUUAUACAUCUCAAUAUCAAAUAUAUAUUCUCGUAUAAUUGCACCAGUAAUUUACUCCUUUUAUAUUUAUCAUUCUCAAUCGAUCUUGUACAAUAGUACUGUGCUUAGAUUCCUGAUUUUGAUUGGAAAUUCACCAUUAAAAAAAAUUACAUGUUAACAAGUAAGAAUUUAAUGGUUUUCUCAAUUAUUCAAGUCGAAACAAGAUCUCAAGCUUUCUAUGGUAUUUGAAUGCAUCGAUGAUUUUUUUUUUUGAAUAAAUAUGGUUAUCAAACUCAAAAUCUCCUUGAUUUGUUUGUUUGAGAAAGAGAAUCCACCUUCAAGAAUCAUGGUGAUUUUUAAUUCUCAUUGCAGUAUUUUAUUAUCGCUAAAUUAAGCUGGCAUAUUUAUUUUUUUCUAUUUUUAUAUAAUCGAGUUGGAUUUAAUCAAAUAUGUUUAAUUUUAGAUAUAGAUUUUUAAACAUUAAUGUCGAAGACUUGGACAUACCAACAUGAAAUUGAUUUAAAAACUAUAUAUAUAUAAAAAAAUUCUUCUAAAGGGACUCCCACAUCUUAAAUAGAAAGAGGAAAUAAUAUGCAUGUGAUACUUGCCAAUAUAAAAAGCAAGUAAAAAGCUCACUUAAAGCCAAAAAUCAAGUCUCUAUAAAUAGUGCACUUUAACUUCUUCGUAUGGACUUAUUCGGUCUCAUGUAUGCUUCAAGUCUUGGAGGUAAAAAAUUUGCUUUUAUAAUUGUUGAUGAUUAUACUAUGUUUACCUGCAUUUUAUUUCUUGCUCGUAAAAAUAAAGCACUUCAAGCUUUUAAAAAAAUUUACAAAAUAGUUCAAAAUAAAAAAAGGUAUUUUGGUUUUCAAAAUUAGAAUUGAUCAUUAGAAUUUCACAAUUUUGCUUUAGAAAGUUUUUGGGUAGAAAAUGGAUUUAAGCAUGAAUUCUCUGCCCUUUGAACUCUAUAACAAAAUGGAGUUGUUGAAAUAAAAAAAUUUAUCUUUAAAAAAUAAAAACUAUGUGAAAUGAACAUAAUUUGCCUCAAUGCUUGGGACUAAGGGGUUUGCUCCUUCUGUGGUCAGAGUUCGAGCCCUGUGGUUGCUCAUAUAAUAACCACUGAAGGCUUACAUGGUCGUUAACUUCAGGGCUCAUGGGAUUAGUUGAGGUGCGUGCAAGCUGGCCCGAACAUCCACGUUAAUCAAAAAAUCACCAAAUAACACUGAUGAUUUUUCAAUCCAUCGAUGAUUUUGUCUGUAAAGAACAAUAAUUAAAAAUGUAAUUGAAAAGUGAGCAAUUCUAGAGCUCAAUGAAAAAUACCGACAGAAUUUACCGUUAAUGAUUCCAUUUGUAAUUGACAUGAUGAACAAUGUUAAUGGCUUACCAACGAUUUUACUGACGGAUUUAUUCCGUCGGUAAUUCCAUUGGUAUAAACAACACGUCAUUGUUUUUUUUGCUUUGUUUUAAUUAUUGUUUUCCACUGUAAUUCUCUCGGUAUAUACUGAGGGAAUAUUUUUUUCAAUAAAAUCAGUCGGAAAUUAACCGACAAAAAUAUUUUAUCAAUAUUUUUAUUUGUAUUUAUUAAUUUUUUAAUAGUAGUUCAGCUACACGACAGUUGCUUAUAGUUUCUUUUUGUAGUUUUCCUUUUACAUUUGGUAAAUGGUUAAACCCAAGCCAACUUUUUGUAGUAUUCAAUUUUUUUCAGCAGACAACAUAAUGACCAGAGCAAUUGCCAUUUAAGUUAGUUAAAAAGAAUUAAUGCUCAUUAUAAAUAAAAAUAAAAAUAAAAAUAAUGAUCUUUGUUUAUUGCUCAAGACAUUGCAAGUUUGAUGGUAAUGGGGAAAGGAGACGAUAAUUUUACGUGGAAAACCCUCUCAAAAUAAGGGGAAAAAAAUUCAAAUUAAAAAUAAUUAUUUAAAAUUAAAUAAAUAAAUAAAAUAAAAUAAUAAAAAAUAUCUUCAUGUUAAAAUUUCUCCAUAUAGCCUGAAUCUUCAAUUUUUAUAUGUUUUUGGUAGAUUUGAGUCCUGAUUUCAAACAUGUUGUUCUCUCAUAAUUUCAAACAUGUCAUUCUCUCUCAUUUGGAUAAAUUAUUAGGUCUACGAUAUAUAGUUGGAAAGUUUCAGAUGUAUAGUUUCUAUCCUAACUUUAAUUGAAGCAAAAUUUCACCGAUAACUUUAAAUAUGUCCCAAAUAGUACAUGAAGGUAUUGUUUGAUAUAUUUGACAAUAUUAGUUUACUAAAUUUGACCAUCUGAAAUAUUAUGUUUGUUAACUCCAUUUGACCUGAAAAUUUACCACAAUAUAUUUUUAUAUAUCUAGUAUUUUCCUGUAAAAUUUUAGAUUUAUCCAAUAUACAGUUUGAAAGAUAUGUUCAAUUUCGUAAAACUAAUCAGCAGACAUUUUAAGGUCAAAUUUGGACCUGACUUGGUUCAUAUCACAAAUUUAGUAAACUCAUAAAAUCGGACCAAAUUUACCGAUUUUGCAUGAGUUAAGUCCGAUUUUACUAGUUUCAAGUUUUUAGUCCAAUUUAACACGUUAGAUACAUGUUAACUCGUAAAAUCGUAAGAUUUUACGGGUUAACUUUAGAUUUUAACAGUCUUACUUGGGAUUUUGUCUUGUUGCAAAUUAAUUAUAAUUUAAUACUCUUAGUUUAUAAAAGAUAAAUAAUAUUUAUAACAUAAAAAUAAUUAAAUAAUUCUUAGAUCAUCGUUGAUUAUAGUUAAUUUAAUGGUAUGUUUUCUACCAAAAAAAUAAAUCCCUCAUCAAACUCCCCAUCCUAUGUACUUGUUUUAAAAUCUUUUCUAAUUUAUAAAAUAAAAAAUCAAAAUGAAAUGAAGAAAAUAUGAAAUUGAAAACAAUUUACGUGGAAUAUAAACAUAAGACAUUCAAACAACAUUUUUUAAGAAAAUAUUGAAGAAAAUGCUGUUGAAAGUCAUGUUUACUGUAAGGAACAGCAGAACAGGAAGACAAAAAUUACAGAGACGAUAAUUUUACAUGGAAAACCCUCUCAAAAUGAGGGGAAAAACCACAGGACAAUCACGAAAACACUAUUAUUAAUUUAAAUGCUAAGGUAACAAUUUAUUUUUAAUGUACAGAUAAUAUUCAAGCUAUUAUAAGAAACAGAGAGAGGACAACAACAAUAAGUAAAAAAAUAAAAAGCAAAGUCAGAAACAAUAUAAUUAAUUAAUUAAUUAAUUAAAGGAUAUAUACACAUCUCCUCCUCCUCCGAUGGAUUUGAGCACUGGGAAAGGUUGUUAGUGAGGCGCCUGCAUGGCAACACGAAAGAUGAUUAUAUAGAGUUGAUUGUAUAGGAAAUUGAUGGAUCAUACUCUUAAUUCAUCAAAGCUAUUAUUCUUUUAUUAAAUUAAUUAUACAGUCGAUGUCUACUUAAUGGAUAUAUAGUAAUAUAGGUAAUUACUCCAAUAGGAACACCCAAAAUAAGCAAACAAAUAAAUAAAAGAGGAAGUUAGUUCCUAAUUACAUAUAUAGAAGUUACCUGCAGCCAUUUAUGUAUUGUCGUAUUAAACCUUGCCAAUAAUUAGGAAGACUGCCACUUAAGAGGAGAAAUUAAGUUGAAGAUCAGUUUCCUAAAAUUAUACAUAAAAGUGCAACCCUUUUCUAUUAAUAAAUAAAUAAAUAGAUAAAAAAAGAAUGUGAUGCCAGGGGAAUUAAUAAAUAGAACACUUUACCUCAUCUAAUCUGUGGGUAUUAAUAAAUUUUGAUGUUUGGGGUAUGAGAGGCGUUGGGCCAGCCCUCUCCUCCUGCUUUGAAUUGCGCUCCUAUAAUUGGACUCCAUCUGAUUUCCAGUUGCUCAAAAGUUGUUGACUGGAGCACGUAAUCCGGAAGUGCUUUCAAUUUUGGGCAUUCCCAAAUUCUCAAGGAAUGAAGAGAUGGCAUAAUUAUGGUUGAAAUGGAGAUGUUUGUUUUAUCUUCAUUUCCUCCUUCUCCUCCUUCCCACUCUUCCCAAUUUGUCAUCCACCGAAAGGAAAGACUUUUCAACUUGGGGAAUGCAAUAAUAGUAUUUGAUGAUGAUGAUGUCAUUUCUCCCUUACUGUCAACUCUCAAUCCCAAGAAUUCACGCCCCACCCUCCCCACGCAUUCCAUAUCCCCUACAGUUAAUUCUUCAAGAGAUGGCAACUUCCCCAAAGGAGGCAGAUUCUCAAUCUUCCCCCAAUCCCAGAGUCUAACAACCCUUAGUUUAUUAAUACAACUAGGAAACACUGGGAUGAUUCCCUGGUAAUUACUUAAAUCCAAAGAUUCUAAGUUUGGAGGUGGUUCUAAGGCUUCAAGGACUUCAUCAUCGUUAAUUUUCUCCCUGUCUGUCCUCGAUUGAAAAAAUAAAUCUAAACGAGUGAGGUGUUUCUUGCUCUUCAUUUCUGCUUUCUUAACCUCAUUUGGAUCUUUCACAUCUCCCAACCAUUUUAUCGUAAGAGAUCCUUGAAGGUGGUUCAAGUCUUUUAAAUCCCCAAUAUUAGACACUUUACCAGUACCACUCACAUGGAACUCAUCUAAUUCCCGAAGAGAACUUAACCCCUCAACUCCACUCAUCUUCACAAACGACGAGUCAUCCCAGUAAAUACCAACUCUGAGAUGUCUUAAUUUGACUAGUCUUCCCAUGUUAUCAGGUAGCCUUUCAAGUUUCUCACAAAACGAGACAUUUAAAGUUAGCAUAUUAUACAAUUCACACAUCUCUUCAGGUAACUCCCUGAUUAGAUUAAAAGACAAAUCAACAUGCCUCAGGUGUAUCAACUUUCCUAUGUUAGAUGGGACUUCUUCUACUCCACAUCUUGGAAACUUCAGUGUUCUUAGACAACUCAAAUUAGCGAUUAAGUUAGGUAGGGCUGCAUUCAUCAGUGAAGGAUAACCAUCAACAAUCAGGCUACGAAGCUUCUUAAAACUAUGAAUGGUUGCAGGUAAUGGGUCGGUUUCAUAAUUUCUAAGCACUACCAUGAAGUGUCUGGCAUCUCUAGAAAAAGAGUAUAUCUUCGACUCUGUCGAGCCAUCGAUCUCUACACUAAAACAUUCAUUUUUUGUCAAACUUUGUGCAAAAUCAUGCACCAUGUCAUGCAUCUUACAUGCAUAAAUGCUGCCAUCAUUCUUGUCUUUCUCAAAAUCUUGAAAGAAAGAGCGAGCAGCUAAAGCUUCGAAGCACUCUCGACCCUUUACUUCCAUCUCUUCAUUCUGUUUUUCCCGAAGGAAACCUUGUGCCAUCCACAGUUUGAUCAAAGUAUCCCUCUGAAAUUUGAAGUCUUUUGGAAAGACUGCACAAUAUGAGAAACACCGUCUCAUAUCAGAGGGCAGGUCAUGGUAGCUCAACUGUAAAGAAGCUAAAAUUUUGCUUUCAGCUUCUUCAGUCUCCCAGACAUGGCUGUUCAAGACACUUUGCCACUCUGCUCUGCUUCUUUUGAAGCGCAAAAGACUUCCUAGACUCUUUGCAGCAAGAGGCAAGCCCUUACACUUUGCUGCAAUUUCUCUACCAAUAUCUUCCAAAUUUUCUCUCUCUACUGUUUUUUUCAAAAUAUGCAAACUGACUGAAUAAUGACCAACAUUCAUCUGUAGAGAGAAGUCCUAGUUCUAAAAUGUCAGCGGAUGAGGAGCCCAUGCAAUUUGCAACUUUCCUCUUACGUGUGGUCACCAAAAUUCUACUUCCAGGCAAACAACCACACUUAAGGGAGUUUUUCAGUUGCUCCCACUUUGAGGAAUCCUCAUUCCACACAUCAUCUAGGACAAGCAAGAAUUUCUUUCCCCUAAUUGAUUGUUGUACAUGUUGCACUAAAUUCUGCAAUUCGUUUAAAUUUUGGGUAGACCCCAUGAGACCUUCAAGGAUUGCCUUGGCAAUCCUUAUCUCAUCAAAGGGAUCUGAUACACAAACCCAUAUUCUCUUCUCAAAAUAGGACUCCACCACACGAUCAUUAUAAACUAGUUGAGCAAGGGUUGUCUUUCCUAUCCCUCCCAUCCCUACUAGAGAGAUUGUACGGAGGGCUAGUCCUUGACUACUCUCACUCAACAACAUAUUAAUCACCCUAUCUUUAUCCUUUUCUCUACCUUUAGUUUCUGUUGCAUCUAUAACAGAAGUGGUUUUUUGAUAUUCAAGCUGUUUAAUUCCUACUUCAGAUGAUUUGAAGUGGAAUUUAUCUUUCUCAAUCACAAUGCCAUCUAUUCUUUCAUUUAGUUCUUUUAUCUUAUGAGCAAUAUCACGACGCAAACCAACUUCUCUGAAACAAAGGUAAGAGAAGAUCAUGGAGCAUACCUUCCUAGCAGUCUUGCGGGGAUGCUCAUUUACCUUCAUUUGUGAUUUUGCAAUUGACGUGCCCCACUCAUCCAGAACAUCAUCCAUAUCAUAAGAUACGCCUUUGAGCUGAUCUAUCCAACGUUUGAUGGAGCCAUCCUUCAACUGUCUUUCCUCUGCAUCGGCAAGCACAUCUUGGAUGGCCUGGAAAUUGCUGGUAAGCUUUUUAACCUCGUUCUUGACACCAACAACGAGCCUCACUUCCUGUUGCACCUCCUGAGCAAGCAUUAAGCUCAGCUGCUCCAUGACUACAGAAACAAGAGCAUCAGCCAUAUUAUGCAAAACUAAGGAAUGCUUGAGAGGGGAUAAAAUUGAAAUAAAAGGAUUAUAAAUUUGGGAAUGUGCAAUAUAGGGAGUAAUUGAUUGGUUGAGAAAAGAGGAGAAAGAAAAAAGGGAUGCAAAGGGGAGCUUAUGAUUUGAUGGUGCUUCAUAUGAUCUAUUACUUGAUGUAUAUAUAGUGCAUUGGAAAAGGCCAUGGAAUCUCUUAAUUUCAUGUACUGAAGCAAAAGAGCUUUGCUUUCAUGAUGGUUUUUGGGAUACUUGUCUUCCCCAAGAAAUGCCCUUUAUUCUUUCCUUUCGAGUUCUCAGAAGAAAUAUUCCAAAAUUUACUAGAGCAAGCUAAUCAUGUGACUCCAUAAAUCAUUCUUUUUUUACUUUGGAUGGGAAUUCUUUUCCCCCUUAUAGUCAUUAAAAUUGCUUAUGGAAUUAGGUAUCAUGAAUUAGGUAUUGUGAGGGCAUGGAUUUGUUGGUUUUGGUGUUUGAUAAAAUGCUGGAGGAGUUGGAGUAGAAGUUCGCGCGGGGGGGGGGCGGCGGCAUGGCAUUACUACAAGUUAUGGGUUUCAAAGUGUUUGAUGAGACUGUAAAUUGCCAUAAAUCUAAUGAUUGUGGUUUUUCUAAAGUUGCCUUUCAUGCUAUUAAAAAUAAAAUUUGUUCUACAAUAUCAAGAUUAUUAAUCCCUCUCUGAAUUUCAAGAAGAGCAAGUUAAACCAACUUAAUUUUAAAUUAUUAUUUUUAAGUUAAAACCAAGUUAUUUUUGUCUAUAAAAAAAAAAUUGACUAACAGACUAAAUGCAUGCCACCUUCUAUCUAGUUUUCCUUGAAACUCAGUCAUGCUCAAGCCCUAAAUAACGCAACAGGCAUCAAUGAAAGACUAAAAACACAUAAAGCAAAUGUAUCAAAGUAUGCAAAGGAGCAAAAGCAGCUUGGAGGUUUAUAAAACUCCUCGUAUAACCUUAUAAAUGAUGGCUGCAAAUGUCUUACAAUUUCCUGUUGACACGAUUGUAUUCAGUAUAAAUAAUUUCUGUAUUUUUGGGCUGAGAUUAUCAUGGAUAGUACAGUACAUGUUGACAAUGAGAAGAGUCCUUGUCUUCAGUUAAUCAGAGGUCUCGCUAUGCUUAACUCUUCGUCAGGUGCGGUUUCAAUGAAAGACUGAGAACUCGUCUGGUAGCGGAACAUUUAGCUCUGAACAAACAAACUGAAUAAUUCUUCUAG
rnacentral:lncRNA from 1 species